ACAUAUUCUUGUAUGGUGACCUUAUCUAAUGAUGUGACCUUACUACAACUCUCUUACUAUGAUCUUCUAUUCUAUUAUAUAUAACUUCAAAAUUUCUAUACCAUACAUAUUUCUUAUAUUAUACUAUUUCAAUAUCUUGUUUCCAUACUACAACAUAUUUUGAUACAAUAUUGCAACAAAAUCCAAUAGAAAAAAAAAUCCAAAAAUUUAUUUAUUUUUAUUUUUAUUUUUUAAUUAAAACUACUUCAUUUUAAUUUGCUAUACUAUAAUUUGAAGAAGAGAAAACAUUCUUGUAAAGUGAAAGAUUAGAAAUCUACACAAAAAUAAGACAAGCUAUCUUU
rnacentral:lncRNA from 1 species